rnacentral:antisense_RNA from 1 species
GGAGGCCUCCAUCUCAAAACAACGUGUUUUUAGAGAACUCAAGGGCUGUGAAAAGAGCAGGCCCUCACCAGCUGCACGGCGGUGGUGACCGGCUCCAUCUUGCUGUCUCUCCCAAUCAUACAACAUCUCCCCUUGAAGGCUCUGCCCAGGCACAGACUCCCACCUUUCAAGAUGUCUGGAUCAGUGCAGGACCUCCUUCUUGGCCACAUCGCUCUCCUUGGACUGGUUCAAGUGAUUCUCCCACCUCAGCCUCCCAAGUAGGAUUACAGUGUUGACUCACCUGUGGAGUGGUCUGACCCUGAAUGCCCGGGGUUGUGGCCACUGAGUGAACGGGCUGUGCUAAGGGGAAUUGCCACCUUGUGAACCCUGUGUAGUUACGGCUUUUCUGAUUAAGUAUCAAUAAAAGUCUGACCUUGUGAAAAAAGCAAAUGUGAGUGGCCCUGCUUAUGUUUCACCCUGCGUUGCUCAGUGAUAGUUCUGCAAAGUUGCAGCAAACAUGGAAUCAUCUAAUUAUCGUGAGUGUUGGUUCCUUAUUUAAUAAUGUCUAGUUGAUUCAUUAACAUGGAAUUCAUGGCCAGUACCUCUGUCACUCAUGCCUGACUGAAGUUUAUCAGCACGUCUUUUUCUCCCUUAGGCACAUGACAGCUUUCUUGCAAUCAAGAAACUACGUGUGG